AGCAGCCGCGGUAAUUCCAGCUCCAAUAGCGUAUAUUAAAGUUGUUGCAGUUAAAAAGCUCGUAGUUGAAUUUCGGGAUUGACACAUCGGUCGUGCCUUAAGGGGUAUGAACUGGUGUAGUCAAUUUCUCACCUUCUGGAGAACCGCGAUGCCCUUAAUUGGGUGUCACGGGGAACCAGGACCUUUACUUUGAAAAAAUUAGAGUGUUUAAAGCAGGCAUUUUGCUUGAAUACAUUAGCAUGGAAUAAUAAAAUAGGACGGCAUGAUUCUAUUUUGUUGGUUUCUAGGAUCACCGUAAUGAUUAAUAGGGAUAGUUGGGGGCAUUAGUAUUCAAUUGUCAGAGGUGAAAUUCUUGGAUUUAUUGAAGACUAACUACUGCGAAAGCAUUUGUCAAGGAUGUUUUCAUUAAUCAAGAACGAAAGUUAGGGGAUCGAAGACGAUCAGAUACCG
rnacentral:rRNA from 1 species